rnacentral:rRNA from 1 species
UAGGGAAUAUUGCACAAUGGGCGAAAGCCUGAUGCAGCAACGCCGCGUGUGCGAUGAAGGCCUUCGGGUCGUAAAGCACUUUUCUGGGAGAUGAGAAAGGACAGUAUCCCAGGAAUAAGUCUCGGCUAACUACGUGCCAGCAGCCGCGGUAAAACGUAGGAGGCGAGCGUUAUCCGGAUUCACUGGGUGUAAAGCGCGUGCAGGCGGUUCGGUAAGUUGGGCGUGAAAUCUCCUGGCUCAACUAGGAGAGGUCGUCCAAAACUACCGGGCUUGAGAGCGGUAGAGGAAGAUGGAAUUCCCGGUGUAGUGGUGAAAUGCGUAGAUAUCGGGAGGAACACCAGUGGCGAAGGCGAUCUUCUGGACCGUUUCUGACGCUCAGACGCGACAGCUAGGGUAGCAAACGGG